CUGGAGUAAUGCCUGCUAAAAAUUCAGCUUUGCAUCACAGAAAUAAGUUACAUUUUAAAAUAUAUUCAAAUGGAAAACAGUUAUUUGAAAUUUUAAUAAUAUUUUAUGAUAUUACUGUAUUUUUGAUCAAAUAAAAUUAGCCUUGGUUCCAUAAAGAAAUCUCAUGUUUCAGAAGAGAUCUCAACAAUGUGAUCAGAGAUACCAAGACACCGAGAUCUCAAUAUGAGCUCAAACAUUUCUCAUCAGAUUUGUUCCAAAACACGAUCUGAGCUGCUAUCUAGGCUACACGUGGUCUGGUUAGACGCCAUAUUGAAUAUAAGCAUAUGACAAUAAUUUCAUAACUUUCAAAACUGUUUUAUGGAAUUUCCAUCCACUGAAAGUUUUUUUCUUCUUCUUUUUUUCGGAAAGACAUUUCACCAACUGGAUAGGUUUUGAAACCACAAGACAAUUAAUGGCACUCUACGUAUAUCCCUCACAGCCUCACACCCUGUCAGAAAUUAAAUAUGGCACUACCCUGAUACUGUAUGUCAAAAUUUGAUUCUAUUUUAGGAGAAACACCUGUGACAGAGUUAACACUUCAGCUGAGAACUCUAUUAAGUCUCCCAAACAUCGAAAAAGCCACAUCUGAGCGUUACCCGCUUGUUUCUCUCUCUCUUUUCUCCCGUCUCUGCCUCCUACCAGCCCUUACACACACGCAUGGAUGGAUGCCAGAUGAAGAGGAGAGGCAUAUCUGGAUGUAAUGUCAUUAUGAACGCUUCCCUUAAAGCUCAAUCAUAACUGCGUUAUGAGCGAUACAGCUCUUUAUAUGACACAAAUGAAGUCGUCCAUCUUCCCCUGGAUUGAGUCAUCAAUUUCCCUUGGCGAAUAGGCUCGUUUGCAGUACCUAAUCAUCUGUCUGCUCCGCGCUGUCCUGCAGGCUGAUCGGAUGGCGCUUUUGAAUACUGCUACAACAAGCAUGACAAUCGUAGCCGUCCAUUAAGAUUGAAAUGCCUCCAUUAUGGUGCCUGCCUGUGGGAGGAACUGAGCUUUUCUUUGUGUGUAAAUCACUCCGCUCGGCUGUGUGUUUAUUGAUUACAGCCACUUGUGCGCUGAAUUCUGCGCCGAAUAAAGGAGGGGAUUUAUUUUCCUUGCUGUCAGAGCGUCGGCGUGCAGGCAGAGCCGUUCAGGAGAGUUUUACGGCUCAAGGUGCGACGGGGAUACGGGUGAGAUUUCUUGUAUACUCUGUGAUAGCAGCCCCGCUGGGCCAUUGAUUUCUUUGAUGCUCUGUAAUGAAGCAAUGCUGAGACAUAAAUUAUGUAUUAACCAGCAGACAGGUGAUGACCUCUGAUUCAUUCACAACCUGUUAUGUUUAUACAGUCAUAAAGCAGGCCUGAUGUGCUUUCGUUUAUUCAUACCACCAUUUCGCUGAGCGAGCCACUUCGGGUCACAAAUUUUCUGGCCACCAUUUAACAUGUAUAGGCCUACAGGUAUGCUGUUGGUCUUUAUUGCACCACAGAGUUAUUCUUUUUUUUUUUACCUUGGUGAAUGUGUGUUUGCAAUCUGAAUUGAUGCAAUAAAAUAAUGCAAUAAUGACAAGAAACGUCCAUUUAGUAAGUUGUCCUCGCUGAUAGAAUGCAAAAAUUCAGAACUUAUAAAAUAAUGUUACACUGCGGGGCAAAGACGACACAGUCAACAUGCCGACAGACAAGACAGAGCAGGUUACUUCUGCUAUGAAACAAAGUCAUAGCUUUCAAAUUCCAUCAUUUUUUGAGAAAUACAAACAAUAAAUACUGUUUUUUGGCUCUUUAAUGUGUCGUGACAGAUCGCUGUAGCAUCUCAGUUAAAGCGGCACGUGAACCGAUCAUCUUUUCAUAUUUACUUAAAGCGCAAAAUAAACAUGAAUGAACAUCAGAAGAUAUUUAGUUUCAACUGUGGAAAGAUGUCAAUACACACCAUUUUUCAAGUUUAAGUCCACCGAAGUUAAUCAUCCCUGCAUCCCAAUGUACAUACAGUACUAUCCAACCUAUCUGCCCUAAAUAGUAUUGAAAAUUACUAAUAUCACAUAGACUUCAGGAUGCAUAGUAUGCACAUUUGCACGCAGGCCUACUCUCCUGUCUGAUUUGUUUGUCGGGCAAAAUGGCAGAUUCAGGAUUAUGAUUGGUCAGAUCGCAUGUCAAUCAAGCUCACUGAAAAGGGUUGAAUGACUCGUAUGAGGCAGUUCUUUAUACUGAAUCAAAAACAUUAGUGCGACCAUUGUAUGCUGAACUAAUGAUUCUAAUGGGCUUUCAAUGAAUAGGCCUAGUUAAAAAACUUGUCACCGGUUUGAAUUAAUCACUGAAUUGAAUCCAUCAGACCGGCUACUGAAUCAAUGUUUGACUCAGUUACUUCAUGGCAAUUUAUUAUUUCCAGUGAUAUAGGUUUUGUGUCAGUAUCAUUACUGACUGUUAAAGAUAGACACAUUUCUUAUUUUUGUAAUAAGGAAAUGUUUAUCUUUUGUACUGCCUCUAACAUUACCUAAUUGUCAUGUUUUAAUUCAUAUGCCCAAAAAGACUCAUCAUGACUUGACCCUCAUGCAGCCCAGUUUCAUUUAUUUCUGUAAAGGGAGAAAACUUCUCUUUUAAAAGUCUCCCUGCAGAGCUACAAAUUAGACUCGCUUCUAUUUGAGAGAGUGAAGCUUUUCAACGGCUCUGCUCUCAGAACUCCCCAAACUGUAAAUCUGCUCUGAAUCUCCCUGUUUAUGGUUAAAUCUCCCAGGAGCCCGGUGUCCUGAGCUCUGCUGGGAUCCUCUCCGGCUGUAAAGUGCUUCCUGAGUAAUCAUUACUCACAGUUUUGGAGCGGCGCUGGCUGGCAGCGUGUUGAUAUUUUCUCCAUCCUUUUCAUUAAUUGAGUAUUGACGGAGAUUGGAGAGUCAUUACACCUCAUUGAUCUGUCUUAGUUCUGCGGCCCUGCGUUGCCAAACUGGCGGACGAACAGCGAGAGCUUGAGGGAAUUAGUUUAAAGUGUAUAACUCAACAUCAUAUCAUAACCAGCAUCUCAGUGUGAGCGCCUACAGAGCUAAAGGAACCAGCUUCUGCCUCCUUGAGCUUAUUUAGGAGGAUGCAGGGCUUAAUCUGAACAGCUGGAAUUGGAUGGGGCACUUCUUUUAUUGGAUACGUCUCUGAAAUGAAUUUAUGCUUUGACCUCUACAUACUGUAUGUUGCAUGGAAAAAAACAAGUAUAAUAACAAAAGCAAGGUUGAUAAUAGCUUGCAAUAUUAAAAUAAAAAUGUAAAACAAAAAUUAGCAAUGCACUUUUUGGUUACUCAUACUGUAUGUUCUAAUUUCUUAAAAUUGUUGAGUUUUAUAUCUCACAAAUCAGACUUUUUCUUCUCAGAAU
rnacentral:lncRNA from 1 species